rnacentral:tRNA from 1 species
UACAUUAUAGUGUACGAGGCACAAAAAUUUUUGAUGUUUUAGGAUUACAGUUUAAUUCUGUUUAAUGUAG